ACCAAAAAAAACCUCAUUCCAUUUUGGCUGGUGACUAACUAGGACAGUUCUUGUUAAAGAAAUAAGAAAUUUCUGGGGGAAACUUUUCUUUGUGGCACUAGGGUCUCUACCACUGAGAUAUAUACAUAGCCCUUUUCAUUUUUUGUUUUGGGAUAGGGUCUCAUUAGCUGUUCAGGCAAGACUAGAACUUGUAAUUCUUCUGCAUAACCCUCUCUCACUGCUGGGAUAUGAGCAUGUACUACCACACACAGCUUCUGGGGAAAUUGUUUUGCCCUUGUAAAAGAGUGGGCACUGCAUAGGCAAAGCUCUGCAUUUGCCUUCCCUCUUGCUCUUCGCAUUUGGAUAUUGCCUUUUGAAGAUGUAAUGCUUGCAGCUGGAACAGUCAAUUUGUAACCAUGAAGGAAGCAUCACCAACAUAUUGAGGAUUCCUGAGCAGAAGCAUGGGAAGAGAUGGCAUCUGGACGCAUAGCGUUGAUGUUGCUGAGCUAUGAACAACUUGCCUGUGGACUUCCUGAGAAGUGAGCAUUGAGCCAUUGUUCAUGCUCAAUUAAGGAUGAUGACGAAUAAUGCAACUAACAGUAAUUAGUAGCCUGGAAGAAAACGAUGGCUGAAAAGACAGUGGGGAACUUCCCUGGAGAGUUUUAUUCCUCUUUUGAUGAGCCGUGUAAAAAAUGCAGUAGAAGCAUCCUCCACCUGGAAAGGAGUGAGGCUGGACAAAUAGCAAGAAUGGAUGGCAGUGGGGAAUUCUGCAAUAGUGAGCAACAACCUUGACCUAAUGGACACCUUUGCUCUUCCUGUGCACACUAAGUCAUAGAAACCAUGCAGGCCUGUAUUGAUAUCCCUCCCAGGAUCUGAGAAGAAUCCAUCCAGUUUGGCAUAGUUGGAUUUCAAAGGGAUUUAAUUGCUGCAAAGUGUAUUUGUGAACUGGUCUUUCCACCACAUCUAACAACUUCAUGAAGUAAUUGUUAGCAGAAACAAAAUCUGAAUUUAUUAGUGUUUAUUGUUUUUCAGCAGAAAUUAAUUUUCAAGCAUAGUUUUGAGUACCAUUUAUAUUCAAAAACAAAUACAGCAAAUGUGCUGUUAGGCCAGCUUCAAGAUAUUCCCGGAGACCCAGUGUGCCAAUACUUACUGCACGAAGGCAAACGAGCAAACCCUCCAGAGGGACUGGCCCCACAGCACCAGUGUUUUAUCUAAUGCUCUGCUUGACUGAGACAGGAGCAGAUUUUUGCUUUGCUACAAUACCGAAAAGGGAUCUAGACAGCAGUUCUCCAGUUGCCAGACUUCCUCAACCAAAGGCAGGUGACUGAUGAAUGACUCCCUCCUGCCCAAUGAUGCUUUCCACAGGUCUUCUCCUGCUGCACUCAGCUCCACCUACCUGGGCAGUUUUGUGUUUCAGGUACUGAGGGGCAACUGUGGAUGUCUGUUGUCGCAGUAGUGGUGUCACCCUGAGGCGCAGACCUAAUUUGCUGUCUGUCCCAAAGGCAGCGGUUCCCCAAGAGGGAAGCUGAGAAAAGUUGGCAGAAAAAGAGAGCCUUUUUCCUGGGCUUCUCUUGGGGGAUCUGGAAAGAGUCUUGCUGUGCAGUUAAGCCUGG